GUAUUUUGAAUUAAGUAUUCAUAAUAGUUUUUCAGACAAAGUGGUUCAAGGUUAUAGGUUGGUGUAGGUGUUUCUCCGAAAAGAAACACAACAUUGCACACAAGGUGAGUACUAUUUUUAAAAAGUGCAGUAAAACACUUAUUAUGAAUGAUCCUUCCGCAGGUUCACCUACGGAAA
rnacentral:misc_RNA from 1 species